rnacentral:rRNA from 1 species
UGGGGAAUUUUGCGCAAUGGGCGAAAGCCUGACGCAGUAACGCCGCGUGGAGGAUGAAGGCCUUCGGGUUGUAAACUCCUGUCAGGAGGAACGACGGGGUAGGAUGAAUAAUUCUAUCUCCCAGACGGUACCUCCAAAGGAAGCCCCGGCUAAUUCCGUGCCAGCAGCCGCGGUAAUACGGAAGGGGCAAGCGUUGUUCGGAUUUACUGGGCGUAAAGGGCGCGUAGGCGGCAAUUCAAGUCAUCUGUGAAAUCUCCUGGCUUAACUCGGAACGGUCAGAUGAUACUGCUUUGCUAGAGUGCAGAAGGGGCAAUCGGAAUUCUUGGUGUAGCGGUGAAAUGCGUAGAUAUCAAGAGGAACACCUGAGGUGAAGACGGGUUGCUGGGCUGACACUGACGCUGAGGCGCGAAAGCCAGGGGAGCAAACGGGAUUAGAUACCCCAGUAGUCCCUGAGCGGGCUGGCAAGGCGCAU